GCUGGGCACGGUAGCACGCACCUGUAGUCCCAGCUACUCGGGAGGCUGAGGCUGGAGGAUCGCUUGAGCUCAGGAGUUCUGGGCUGCAGUGCGCUAUGCCGAUCGGGUGUCUGCACUAAGUUCGGCAUCAAUAUGGUGACCUCCCGGGAGCGGGGGACCACCACGUUGCCUAAGGAGGGGUGAACCGGCCCAGGUUGGAAACGGAGCAGGUCAAAACUCCCGUGCUGAUUAGUAGUGGGAUCGCACCUGUGAAUAGCCACUGUACUCCAGCCUGGGCAACAUAGCGAGACCCCGUCUCUU
ensembl:misc_RNA Metazoa_SRP Metazoan signal recognition particle RNA